UACGGAGGGUGCGAGCGUUGUCCGGAAUCACUGGGCGUAAAGGGCGCGUAGGCGGCGCGGAAAGUCGUCGGUGAAAGCUCGGGGCUCAACCCUGAGUCUGCCGGUGAUACUCCCGCGCUCGAGCUCACUAGAGGCAGAUGGAAUUCCGGGUGUAGCGGUGGAAUGCGUAGAGAUCCGGAAGAACACCGGUGGCGAAGGCGGUCUGCUGGGGUGAGGCUGACGCUGAGGAGCGAAAGUGUGGGGAGCGAACAGG
rnacentral:rRNA from 1 species